AUGGACGCAAUGCCUUUGUUUUAUUUAUUUACUUGUACGUGGUGCUGAGGAUGGAACCCAGCGCCUCACACGUGCCAGGCGAGCGCUCCACCACUGAGCCCCAGCCCAGCCCAUCUUCACUGUUGCACAGAAUUCCAUGAUGGGGAGGAAAGAGAAAAGAAGGAAAAUCUUCCUGAGGCACCAUCUAGAGGGUUUUCUCCUACAAGUGGAUCUCUUCAGCACUUGUAAUGGUCAAUUUGAAUUGUCAACUUGAUCCCAUUAAGAGAUACCAAGGAUUAAGAGGCUUAUGGGUGUAUCAAUGAGGGUGUGUCUAGGAAUGAUUGGCACGUGGGAUAGCCAAUUGAAAGGGAGACCCCCCCUAAGUGUGGGCAGCACUGACCAAUAGGAUGAUGGCUUGGAUGGACUAAAAGUUGGAACAAGAAAGCAAGCACAUAUGCAAGCUUGAUUCUUCUUGAAUGGUUCUUGAUCGCUGCUGGGAUCAUAGGAGGACAUUGGACUCUAUGCUUCUUGAUCACCAUGAUAUGAGCUGCUUCCCUGUGCCACAUUCUCUCCAGCCAUGAUGUUUAGCUUCAUUCAGAGCCUUGAGAAAUGGAGCCAGCCUUAUAUGGACCUCUAAAACUGCGAGCCCUGAAAUAAACUUUUCCUCCACUA